rnacentral:rRNA from 1 species
AGUGAACGCUGGCGGUAGGCCUAACACAUGCAAGUCGAACGGCAGCACAGUAAGAGCUUGCUCUUACGGGUGGCGAGUGGCGGACGGGUGAGGAAUACAUCGGAAUCUACUUUUUCGUGGGGGAUAACGUAGGGAAACUUACGCUAAUACCGCGUACGACCUACGGGUGAAAGCAGGGGAUCUUCGGACCUUGCGCGAUUGAAUGAGCCGAUGUCGGAUUAGCUAGUUGGCGGGGUAAAGGCCCACCAAGGCGACGAUCCGUAGCUGGUCUGAGAGGAUGAGCGGCAAAGAGGGGAAUGAGAAAAGGACCAGACGCCUACGAGAGGGAGGAGGGGGGAAGGGUGUACAAGGGGGGCAGUCCGUAGCCACACAUGCUGCGUGAGGGAAGAAGGCCUUUGGUGUGUAAGCCGCUUUUGUUGGAGAAGAAAGCCUAUGAGCGAAUACCCUGGGGGGAUGACGUUACCGGAAGAAUAAUAACCGGCGAACUACGGG